UGACUGAGCGGCGGACGGGUGAGUAACGCGUGGGCAACCUGCCCUGUACAGGGGGAUAACAGUUAGAAAUGACUGCUAAUACCGCAUAAGCCCACGGCUUCGCAUGAAGCAGUGGGAAAAACUCCGGUGGUACAGGAUGGGCCCGCGUCUGAUUAGCUAGUUGGUAAGGUAACGGCUUACCAAGGCGACGAUCAGUAGCCGACCUGAGAGGGUGACCGGCCACAUUGGGACUGAGACACGGCCCAAACUCCUACGGGAGGCAGCAGUGGGGAAUAUUGCACAAUGGGGGAAACCCUGAUGCAGCGACGCCGCGUGAGCGAUGAAGUAUUUCGGUAUGUAAAGCUCUAUCAGCAGGGAAGAAAGUGACGGUACCUGACUAAGAAGCCCCGGCUAACUACGUGCCAGCAGCCGCGGUAAUACGUAGGGGGCAAGCGUUAUCCGGAUUUACUGGGUGUAAAGGGAGCGUAGACGGAAGUGCAAGUCUGAAGUGAAAGCCCGGGGCUCAACCCCGGGACUGCUUUGGAAACUGUAUUUCUAGAGUGCUGGAGAGGUAAGUGGAAUUCCUAGUGUAGCGGUGAAAUGCGUAGAUAUUAGGAGGAACACCAGUGGCGAAGGCGGCUUACUGGACAGUGACUGACGUUGA
rnacentral:rRNA from 1 species